GCAACCCAGUGAUUCCAUGGAAAGCAGAAAGAGGGAUAUAAAGAAACUGGAUGCUUGAUGACAUCUUUGACUCACUGGAUCAAACCUUGCCUGAAGCUCACAUUUCUGAAGUUUCCAGGUGCAAGAACAAAUAAUUUCUCUUUAUUGCUUUACUAGAUCUGAGACUAGCUUUAAGUUUCUCGGACUCUUCCUCUUCCUAACAGAUUUAUCAGAAGCUGAAAGCUCUGAUCUUGUUGGGAUGCAGAUCUUGUCAGGAGAAGGCUUACUUUGCACCAUUUUCUUAGUCUGGUUGCCUAACUCAAGAACCUCGGCACUGCUCUGUUACUUCUCUACUCAGACGAGCAUCCCUGCAGACACUCACUAGGCUAACUCUGUCUUUAUUUUUAGAAUUAGACCUUUACGAGAAGCGCAGUUUUGUCUUCAGUUUCCUCUCCCCCCCACCCGGAAUGGCCUGAGCCGAGGCCAGCUCCCUCCGAGAAGUCAUUACCGCCUGUCUUGCAUGUGAUGUUUAGACAUCUUGGUCAUGACAUCUUGUGUUCUCUCAGGAUGCUGAUUUCUAACUGCUCUUCGGCCUUUCCUGCAUUGGUCCUCCUCAGCCAGGGGAUCCCUGCUCUUCUGUAUUAAUGUUGGCUCCUUGUCCCCUGUCCACCAUGAGUCAAAGCAAUGUGAGCCCCUCACCAGAUACAACUGCCCAAUCUUGGACUUUCCAGCAACCAGAAUCAUAAGCCAAAUAAACCUCUUUUCUUUAUGAAUU